rnacentral:rRNA from 1 species
AUUGAACGCUGGCGGCAGGCCUAACACAUGCAAGUCGAACGAGUGGCGGACGGGUGAGUAAUGUCUGGGAAACUGCCUGAUGGAGGGGGAUAACUACUUGAAACGGUAGCUAAUACCGCAUACCAUCGGAUGUGCCCAGAUGGGAUUUGCUCAUAGGUGGGGUAAAGGCUCCCCUAGGCGACGAGCCCUAGCUGGUCGGAGAGGAUGACCAGCCACUCUGGAACUGAGACACGGUCCAGGCUCCUACGGGAGGCAGCGUUGGGUAAUAUUGCACAAUGGUCGCAAGCCUGAUGCAGCCAUGCCGCGUGUAUGAAGAAGGCCUUCGGGUUGUAAAGUACUUUCAGCGGGGAGGCGUUACCCGCAGAAGAAGCACCGGCUAACUCCGUGCCAGCCGCCGCGGUAAUAC